rnacentral:rRNA from 1 species
UUUCCGGUUGAUCCUGCCGGACCUGACUGCUAUCGGAUUGAUACUAAGCCAUGCGAGUCAUUGUAGCAAUACAAGGCAGACGGCUCAGUAACGCGUAGUCAACCUAACCUAUGGACGGGAAUAACCUCGGGAAACUGAGAAUAAUGCCCGAUAGAACACUAUGCCUGGAAUGGUUUGUGUUCCAAAUGAUUUAUCGCCGUAGGAUGGGACUGCGGCCUAUCAGUUUGUUGGUGAGGUAAUGGCCCACCAAGACUAUUACAGGUACGGGCUCUGAGAGGAGUAGCCCGGAGAUGGGUACCGAGACACGGACCCAGGCCCUAUGGGGCGCAGCAGGCGAGAAAACUUUGCAAUGUGCGAAAGCACGACAAGGUUAAUCCGAGUGGUUUCUGCUAAAGGAACCUUUUGUCGGUCCUAGAAACACCGAUGAAUAAGGGGUGGGCAAGUUCUGGUGUCAGCCGCCGCGGUAAAACCAGCACCUCAAGUGGUCAGGAUGAUUAUUGGGCCUAAAGCAUCCGUAGCCUGCUUUGUUAGUUUUCGGUUAAAUCUAUACGCUCAACGUAUAGGCUGCCGGGAAUACUGCAAAGCUAGGGAGUGGGAGAGGUAGACGGUACUCGGUAGGAAGGGGUAAAAUCCUUUGAUCUAUUGAUGACCACCUGUGGCGAAGGCGGUCUACCAGAACACGUCCGACGGUGAGGGAUGAAAGCUGGGGGAGCAAACCGGAUUAGAUACCCGGGUAGUCCCAGCCGUAAACUAUGCAAACUCAGUGAUGCAUUGGCUUGUGGCCAAUGCAGUGCUGCAGGGAAGCCGUUAAGUUUGCCGCCUGGGAAGUACGUACGCAAGUAUGGAACUUAAAGGAAUUGGCGGGGGAGCACCACAAGGGGUGAAGCCUGCGGUUCAAUUGGAUUCAACGCCGGGA